rnacentral:tRNA from 1 species
GCAGUGGCGGUUCAGUGGUAGAGUUUUCACCUUCCAAGCAGGAGACCCAGGUUCGAUUCCAGGCCAGUGCA